CCUACGGGAGGCAGCAGUAGGGAAUUUUCGGCAAUGGGGGGAACCCUGACCGAGCAACGCCGCGUGAACGAAGAAGUCUUUCGGUAUGUAAAGUUCUUUUGUUGGAGAAGAAAAAGACAUUUGACGGUCACCCAUGAAUAAGCUCCGGCUAACUACGUGCCGGCAGCCGCGGUAAUACGUAGGGAGCGAUCGUUAUCCGGAAUUAUUGGGAGUAAAGGGUGCGUAGGUGGGUGAUAUAAGUCUUUUGUAAAAAUGCUGGGCUCAACCUAGUAGGGCAAAAGAUACUGAUGAACUAGAGUGCGGGAGAGGCAAGUGGAAUUACAUGUGUAGCGGUAAAAUGCGUAAAUAUAGGUAAGAACACCGGUGGCGAAGGCGGCUUGCUGGGCAGGGACUGACACUGAGGCACGAAAGCGUGGGGAGCAAACAGGAUUAGAUACCCUAGUAGUC
rnacentral:rRNA from 1 species